UCUUAGGCUCAGGAGUGAAUUGUUAAAUAAAUCAGUCAGAAUUUUCGUAGGAUUUGUGUCUUCAAGGGAUUGGCACCCUACUUUUGUUUUGGCCUUUUGUACUCAACAUAUGAGGAGGUCAUUUUGAGAUGACAUGCACUUUUGAUGUGUGGACCCCUCCGGGGACGCACGCUCGCAUGAGUACUAUUUGUGGUGAGACCACACAUUCGCCAUGUUGGUCGAAAUGCUGGAAGCAGCUCGAGUCCUUCGGUGUGCUCCACUGAAGUUGACUCCUGCUCGAGGGUUGGGAGUGCUCCGCCAGAAGUCCUAACAGCUUCCAGUGCGGAGCCGGGAGCUUGUGAACUUUCUUUUGAAGAGCUUGUGAAUUUUUUUGGAAGAGCUUUCGAUUUCUUUUGGAAUUCAUUUGAAGAUGUUUAGAAGUUGUAAAAUGAGGCUGUGGGAUCUGUACCACGCCAUCUGCAGCGGCCGGCUCCAACCAGGUUAGCAGCCAGCUUCCCGGGGAAAGGCAAGUUCGCUCCCCGCUGCUGCAGUUCCAGCAGCAGUUGUUGAGGUCGGUCUGUUGCAUAACUUUUGUGUGGCAUUCGCCACCAACUAUAAAUUUAAAAUGGUUAAUUAUGAUUUAAUUUUAUUCAGUUUGAAGUUUUGAAAGUUCUGGUGCAUAAAACUUAGGUAUUUCGAAAUUUAGUUUUUAGUUUUUAAUUAAUGGGUGUAAACCCUUAUAACUAGAACCUGUGAAGCGACCCAGCUUACCACUGAGCAUUUAAUAGUAAAUGAUUAGAUUAAUAAAGUUUGUUAGACAUAAAUUUGUUUAAUUGUUUCUCCUCCUAGCUUUCCUGCAGCAAGGUUUCCGUUUAGUCUAUAUAAUUUAAUUUUGUUUUGUUAACAUGGCUGUUUCCAUUUUCCACAAGCCGGAGCUUUUCAUUUAUUAUUUUACCCCCUUUCAAAACAGCCGUGUUACAAUGGCGCCCAAGGAUUUUCAUGUUUCUAAAUAAUUACUUGCUGGAGGAAAAGCCUAGACUUAUUUUUAUGCACCAGAAAAUCAUUUUGUUUAACUCACCUUUUGUAGAGUAUUUUGUUACAUUGCAAAGAUGUUUUAGGUAUUGCAUACCAUAAUUUGGGCAUUUGCCUACAUUUCUAUUGAAUUUUGUGCACAAUUACAUGUAAUUUUUCUGAAAACGAUUGAAUUUUGUAUGACACAUUUUGAGGUUAUAAAAAUUUGCUGACUUGACAGAUGUCAAAGCACAUGUUGCAUUUUUAGUCAAUUUGGAUACUAUUUUGAAGUUUUGACACUAGUAUUUCGUUUGGUUUCACAUUUAACAUUUUAAUUUCAAUUAAAAAUAAAAAUGUUGUAUUUUAUAACAUAAAAAAAGAGAACACAAUUUUGCCACUUGGGAUCACAUGUAAUAUUUGUAUUUAGUUUAGAAUUUCAUAUUUUAAGAGAAAGUUUUGUGAAUUUUAAUAGAAACUUGUCACUUUAUUAUUUUUAUAUGUUUGCUGGAACUGCAUUUUUUUUCAAUAGUUUGUAUAUACAUUUUGUAACUUUUUACACAGAGAUUUGUUUUGUACGGUUAAGCCUAAAGGCAUAGUAAUUUCACCACACACCAAGUAUUGUUAAGGAAAACAAUAGUUAACACAAUUAACAUAAUUUAAUUUCAUUUUAUUACACAGCACAUUUGUUGUAAACAUGAAGCACCAGAAAUUUCAAUGCAGUAGCAUAUUUAGUAUAUUAAAGUUGAAACGCAACACUCAAUUUCACAGCUUAUUGAUAAUAAUUUAUUUAGGAAGGUCAAUGCCAAUCAGGAGCUCAUCCUAGGUCCAAGCAGCUGUGGAAGCAGUGUCGGCAAUUUUGUUUUUCAGAGCUCUCCGCAUAGCC